CCUACGGGUGGCUGCAGUGAGGAAUAUUGGUCAAUGGGCGCAAGCCUGAACCAGCCAAGUCGCGUGAGGGAUGACGGCCCUAUGGAUCGUAAACCUCUUUUGCCGGGGAGCAAGGCCCCCCACGCGUCCCGGCCGGGAGAGUACCCGGAGAAAAAGCAUCGGCUAACUCCGUGCCAGCAGCCGCGGUAAUACGGAGGAUGCGAGCGUUAUCCGGAUUUAUUGGGUUUAAAGGGUGCGUAGGCGGGAAGUUAAGUCGGCGGUCAAAUGUCGGGGCUCAACACCGGCCUGCCGUUGAAACUGGGCGUCUUGAGUGGGCGAGAAGUAUGCGGAAUGCGUGGUGUAGCGGUGAAAUGCAUAGAUAUCACGCAGAACUCCGAUUGCGAAGGCAGCAUACCGGCGCUCAACUGACGCUGAGGCACGAAAGCGUGGGGAUCGAACAGGAUUAGAUACCCCUGUAGUC
rnacentral:rRNA from 1 species